rnacentral:rRNA from 1 species
AUUGAACGCUGGCGGCAGGCCUAACACAUGCAAGUCGAGCGGGGUGAUGGUGCUUGCACUAUCACUUAGCGGCGGACGGGUGAGUAAUGCUUAGGAAUCUGCCUAUUAGUGGGGGACAACAUCUCGAAAGGGAUGCUAAUACCGCAUACGUCCUACGGGAGAAAGCAGGGGAUCACUUGUGACCUUGCGCUAAUAGAUGAGCCUAAGUCGGAUUAGCUAGUUGGUGGGGUAAAGGCCUACCAAGGCGACGAUCUGUAGCGGGUCUGGGAGGAUGAUCCGCCACCAUGGGAAUGAGACACGGCCCAGACUCCUACGGGAGGAAGCAGUGGGGAAUAUUGGACAAUGGGGGGAACCCUGAUCCAGCCAUGCCGCGUGUGUGAAGAAGGCCUUAUGGUUGUAAAGCACUUUAAGCGAGGAGGAGGCUCUUUUGGUUAAUACCCAAGAUGAGUGGACGUUACUCGCAGAAUAAGCACCGGCUAACUCUGUGCCAGCCGCCGCCGUAA